AAGCCGUGCUGUAAACACAAAGCGAACUUUUCUUUCUCCUUUUAUUAAAGAAUACCAUGUGCUUGCCGUAUAUAAACGGCAUAUGCCUAUUUUUGAAAGGAUUUCUCUUUCCUAAGAGAAAC